UUAAGUUCAGCGGGUAGUCCUACCUGAUUUGAGGUCAGAGUCUAAAAGUGCGCGAUGGCAGGUUAUGAGCAGACUCAUUAGCAAGGGACAAGACGGAACUUAUUACGUCUGUCACGGAUGCAGAGAGAUCCACUAAGUCAUUUGAGGCGAGCCGUGUGACCGGCAGACGCCCAUGUCCAAGUCCGACCCAGAUCAUAAAC
rnacentral:misc_RNA from 1 species